rnacentral:lncRNA from 1 species
CGGUGGGGAGGAUCAGAUGGGAGAAUCAGUCUGUUCAUCAACCUGUGCCCAGUAAAUUUGAUUUCCGGAGUCAGUCAUCUUGGCGUCUUCUUCUACCACAGGUAGAUAUUAAGCAUGCAGUGGAAAUAAGGCAUGAAAGUGCCUUACUUGACUAAAUGAUGACUACACCAAGGGCCACAACUCAGCAGAACACUGCCUUAUGAAACCAUGACUCAUGGUUCCCAUUGCUUCC